UGAGACAAUGUUGCCACUGGGAUCUGU
rnacentral:piRNA from 1 species